rnacentral:rRNA from 1 species
UCGAGAAUCAUUCACAAUGGGCGAAAGCCUGAUGGUGCGACGCCGCGUGAGGGAUGAAGGUCUUCGGAUUGUAAACCUCUGUCAUUGGGGAAAAAACGCUUCAGGUUAAUAGUCUGAAGCCUGAUUUAACCCGGAGAGGAAGCAACGGCUAACUCUGUG